AUUGAACGCUAGCGGGAGGCUUAACACAUGCAAGUCGUGGGGCAGCACGGGGUAGCAAUACUCUGGUGGCGACCGGCGCACGGGUGAGUAACGCGUAUGCAACCUACCCAGUACAGGGGGAUAGCCCGGAGAAAUUCGGAUUAAUACCCCAUAAUGAUAUUAAGAGGCAUCUUUUAAUAUUUAAAGCUUCGGCGGUACUGGAUGGGCAUGCGUAAGAUUAGCUAGUUGGUAGGGUAACGGCCUACCAAGGCUCCGAUCUUUAGGGGUCCUGAGAGGGUGAUCCCCCACACUGGUACUGAGACACGGACCAGACUCCUACGGGAGGCAGCAGUGAGGAAUAUUGGUCAAUGGGCGCAAGCCUGAACCAGCCAUCCCGCGUGAAGGAAGAAGGCGCUAUGUGUUGUAAACUUCUUUUCCGGAGGAAUAAAAUCUUGUACGCGUACAGGACUGAAGGUACUCCGGGAAUAAGCAUCGGCUAACUCCGUGCCAGCCGCCGCAGUAACAC
rnacentral:rRNA from 1 species